UAAUAAGCAAGAAAGGGCGCAUGGUGGAUGCCUUGGCACGGGCAGGCGAUGAAGGACGUGAUAAGCUGCGAUAAGCCACGGGGAGCUGCAAACAAGCUCGGAUCCGUGGAUCUCCGAAUGGGGCAACCCGGCACUUUCUGAGUGUCAUCCUUGGGCUGAAUACAUAGGCCCUUGGAAGCGAACCCGGGGAACUGAAACAUCUAAGUACCCGGAGGAAAAGAAAACAAUAGUGAUUCCCCAAGUAGUGGCGAGCGAACGGGGAACAGCCUAAACUGAUGUGGUCUCGGCUGCAUCGGGGUUGUAGGGCUUGCAAUAUGGAUCAGGCGUUGAAGAGGAAUCCUGCUGGAAAGCGGAACCGAAGAAGGUGAAAGUCCUGUACGCGUAAGACAAAUGAUCCUAGCGAUGUCCCUGAGUACCACGGGGUCGGAGAAGCCUUGUGGGAAGCUACCAGCACCAUCUGGUAAGGCUAAAUACUAAUCCGUGACCGAUAGUGAACCAGUACCGUGAGGGAAAGGUGAAAAGAACGCCUAGUCGGCGAGUGAAAUAGUACCUGAAACCAUGCGCUUACAACCAGUCGGAGCCUGAUUUAUCCAUUCAUUUGGAUAAGGAUGGUGACGGCGUGCCUUUUGCAUAAUGAGCCUACGAGUUACACCUCACUGGCAAGGUUAAGUGCUUCUGGCACGGAGCCGUAGCGAAAGCGAGUCUGAAUAGGGCGCCACAGUCAGUGGGGGUAGACGCGAAACCGAGUGAGCUACCUAUGGGCAGGGUGAAGCGUGGGUAAGACCACGUGGAGGCCCGAACCGCAGUACGUUGAAAAGUGCCCGGAUGACCUGUGGGUAGGGGUGAAAGGCCUAUCAAACUCGGAAAUAGCUCGUACUCCCCGAAAUGUAUUUGGGUACAGCGUCGCAAUAGUGUAUCGGAGGUAGAGCACUGAUUGGGCUAGGGCCCUUCACCGGGUACCAACCCCAGACAAACUCCGAAUGCCGAUACUACGUUUUGCGGCAGUGAGGGCAUGGGUGCUAAGGUCCAUGUCCGAGAGGGGAACAACCCAGACCGACAGCUAAGGUCCCCAAGUUCAGUCUAAGUUGAUCAAAGGAGGUCGGAUUGCUGAAACAACCAGGAUGUUGGCUUGGAAGCAGCCAUUCAUUUAAAGAGUGCGUAAUAGCUCACUGGUCGAGCGAUCCGGCAUCGAAAAUUUGCGGGCAUUAAGACUGGCACCGAAGCUCCGGGUUUCCUAUCGGAAGCGGUAGGGGAGCAUUCCAGCGGCGGCAAAGCAGUACUGCGAGGUACUGUGGAGCCUCUGGAAAAGAAAAUGUAGGCAUGAGUAACGAUAAGACAGGUGAGAAACCUGUCCGCCGUAAGCCUUAGGGUUCCUGUUCAACGUUAAUCGGAACAGGGUUAGUCGGGACCUAAGCCGAGGCCGAAAGGCGUAGGCGAUGGAAAACGGGUCAAUAUUCCCGUACCACCAACAAGCUAUAGAGUAAGGCGUGACGCAGAAGCGUAAGGUCCGCGCACAGACGGAUGUGCGUUGAAGUGCGUAGGCUGGAUGGGUAGGCAAAUCCGCCCGUCCGCUAAGGCUGAACCACGACAGUAGCGGGAGUCUUCGGACGAACGCAUAGAGGCCCCAAGCAUGCUGCCAAGAAAAGCGUCGUAUUCUGCUCAAGGUGCCCGUACCGUAAACCGACACAGGUAGGCGAGGAGAGCAUCCUCAGGCGCUCGAGUGAUCCGUGGCUAAGGAACUAGGCAAAAUUGCUCCGUAACUUCGGGAGAAGGAGCGCCUCCCCCUACUAAAAGCGGGGGGAGGUCGCAGUGAAAAGACCCAAGCGACUGUUUAACAAAAACACAGCUCUCUGCUAAAUCGCAAGAUGAUGUAUAGGGAGUGACACCUGCCCGGUGCCGGAAGGUUAAGGAAGGGGGUUAGCUGCUUGCAGCGAAGCUCACGACUGAAGCCCCGGUAAACGGCGGCCGUAACUAUAACGGUCCUAAGGUAGCGAAAUUCC
rnacentral:rRNA from 1 species